GCCCCGGUAGCUCAGGGGAUUAGAGCGAGCGCCUCCUAAGCGCUAGGUCGAAGGUUCGAUUCCUUCCCGGGGCGCCA
rnacentral:tRNA from 2 species